rfam:Colletotrichum higginsianum, IMI 349063, WGS project CACQ02000000 data, contig: cont1.9773
GGCGUUGUGGCGGAGUGGUUAACGCGAUAGACUCGAAAUCUAUUUCCUUCGGGAGCGUCUGUUCGAAUCAGGCCAACGUCG